rnacentral:rRNA from 1 species
UACAGGGGAUGCAAGUGUUAUCCGGAAUUAUUGGGCGUAAAGCGUCUGCAGGUGGACUUUUAAGUCUUUUGUUAAAUCUCUGGGCUUAACCUAGAAUAUGCAAAAGAAACUAUUUGUCUUGAGUAUGGUAGAGGUAAAGGGAAUUUCCAGUGGAGCGGUGAAAUGCUUAGAUAUUGGAAAGAACACCAAGAGCGAAGGCACUUUACUGGGCCAGUACUGACACUCAGAGACGAAAGCUAGGGGAGCAAACGGG